rnacentral:snoRNA from 1 species
AAUCCCUGCAAAAUUAUCUUGGGCCUUUCAAAAUCAGAAAGGUCUUAGAAUCAAGCAGGGUACAUUAAAAACACACUUUCAUCCAGGAAUGAAAUUAAAGAUUUUCAUUCCUGCAUAGAGGUAUGUGACAUUCUU